rnacentral:rRNA from 1 species
AACGAACGCUGGCGGCAGGCCUAACACAUGCAAGUCGAACGAGAAAGCUUCUUCGGAAGUGAUUAGAGUGGCAAACGGGUGAGUAACACGUGGGAAUCUACCUUAAGGUACGGGAUAACAGUUGGAAACGACUGCUAAUACCGUAUGUGCCCUUCGGGGGAAAGAUUUAUCGCCUUAAGAUGAGCCCGCGUCAGAUUAGUUUGUUGGUGGGGUAAUGGCCUACCAAGACUACGAUCUGUAGCUGGUCUGAGAGGAUGAUCAGCCACACUGGGACUGAGAUACGGCCCAG